rnacentral:rRNA from 1 species
CUACGGGGGGCUCCAGUGGGGAAUAUUGCACAAUGGGGGAAACCCUGAUGCAGCAACGCCGCGUGGAGGAUGACGCAUUUCGGUGUGUAAACUCCUUUUAUAUAGGAAGAUAAUGACGGUACUAUAUGAAUAAGCACCGGCUAACUCCGUGCCAGCAGCCGCGGUAAUACGGAGGGUGAAGCGUUACUCGGAAUCACUGGGCGUAAAGCGCGCGCAGGCGGACUGUUAAGUUGGAGGUGAAAGCCUAUGGCUUAACCAUAGAACUGCAUCCAAAACUAUCAGGCUAGAGUCUGGGAGGGGAAGAUGGAAUUAGUUGUGUAGGGGUAAAAUCCGUAGAGAUAACUAGGAAUACCAAAAGCGAAGGCGAUCUUCUGGAACAGUACUGACGCUGAGGCGCGAAAGCGUGGGGAGCAAACAGGAUUAGAUACCCCAGUAGUC